AGUCGACGGCAGCCGGGGGCAACCCUGGUGGCGAGUGGCGAACGGGUGAGUAACAUAUCGGAACGUGCCCUGGAGUGGGGGAUAACUAGUCGAAAGACUAGCUAAUACCGCAUACGAUCUACGGAUGAAAGUGGGGGAUCGCAAGACCUCAUGCUCGUGGAGCGGCCGAUAUCUGAUUAGCUAGUUGGUGGGGUAAAGGCCUACCAAGGCAUCGAUCAGUAGCUGGUCUGAGAGGACGACCAGCCACACUGGGACUGAGACACGGCCCAGACUCCUACGGGAGGCAGCAGUGGGGAAUUUUGGACNAUGGGGGCAACCCUGAUCCAGCAAUGCCGCGUGAGUGAAGAAGGCCUUCGGGUUGUAAAGCUCUUUUGUCUCGGAAGAAACGGCAGGAGCUAAUAUCUCCUGCUAAUGAC
rnacentral:rRNA from 1 species